CAGGGAGACAACAAAAUGUUUAAUAUUAUUAUUUUGUCACCUUAGGUCGAUCGGUAUCUCACAUUCUUGAUUUAUCAAGAAUUUCAUUUCCUAAGUUUUUCUAGGUCACACCCAUUAUUUUUCCUGGGCCAUUAGCUCAGGUGGUUAGAGCGCACCCCUGAUAAGGGUGAGGUCCCUGGUUCAAGUCCAGGAUGGCCCAUAUCUCUAUGUUGGGGGUAUAGCUCAGUUGGUAGAGCGCCUGCUUUGCAAGCAGGAUGUCAGCGGUUCGAGUCCGCUUACCUCCACUGAUUACCACCUCUUCCAUAACUGGUAGAAAGGAAAUGUAGUGAGUUGUGAUCAAAUUCUGAAAGAAUCUAGCUUCCUAAUGAAACCAUUAAGAUGCUGGACUCAUUGAAUUAAUUUCAUUGUUUUCAGAGAACCUUGACAACUGCAUAGAUUUUUUUAAAGACAAUAAGCAUCUUUAAUGAUGCAGAUUUAUUAUUUGUGCGAAUGCAUUAAUAACAAUUCUAUUAAGCUGAUGCUUCAAAUUUUGAAGUUAUU
rnacentral:tRNA from 1 species